AAAUUACUUACCUGGCAUGUUCUCGUACACCAUCCUUGGAUUUGAAUAACACCAAACAACCCUCUACUCGACAGUGAUAGUGAUCCUUGUACAGGUACUGGCAGCGAGAGUUACAGGGGUCAUUGGCUGUAUACCUAACAACACAGUAUAGUGCAAUGUGGUGUUAACAAUAUUUUCAUGAUAUCAGACGUUUUCCGCAAUUACUAUUAUCAUAAACACUCUUUUACCUGAUGAGGUAGUUUUUCCAAGAUUCAUCUCUCUCUCUCCUUUCCUGAGUAUUGGAUGAGGGUUUGGAUAACAGCAUUGGUGGGAUGGAGUGUGGGAGGCUGACCUUGGAAGAAGAGACAUUCAAUCCUGGAACAGCGUUGGCCUCUGACUUUGAUUGUAUUGAUAAAGACCCUGCACCAGGGACCGUACUGUCUUCCAUAUUUGUGUAUCCUGGUAUAGGCAAAAUAUUGGGAGGGACAUAUGACUAAGUGGACUAUUGGACGCACAGGAUUGACUUCCAUCGACUAGACUUCCCCCAUACUGUAGACUAGAAUCCAUGUCAUUGCUGUCCUCUCGAAAUUUUCUGUAAGCAGUUUCAAAGUCACGGCGUUCAUGCUUCCUCUUGUGAGAAAACAACUGUGCAGUAGAAUGCAGUACAUAUAUACAACCUAAAAAAAAAUUAAAUAAAAAUGAGUUCAUGAAA